UCUCGAUAACGUAAAAGUUAACUCAAAUUUGUAUGUAGUUGGAAUUCUUACCUACGUUUGCCGCUAGGGGCGCUGUUCUAACUACAUACAAAUUUGUGUGAACUUUUACGCUAUCGA
rnacentral:pre_miRNA from 9 species